UGCGUAGGUGGCGUCGUAAGUCGGGUGUGAAAUCUCGGGGCUUAACUCCGAAACUGCAUUCGAUACUGCGGUGCUUGAGGACUGGAGAGGAGACUGGAAUUUACGGUGUAGCAGUGAAAUGCGUAGAGAUCGUAAGGAAGACCAGUGGCGAAGGCGGGUCUCUGGACAGUUCCUGACACUGAGGCACGAAGGCCAGGGAGGCAAACG
rnacentral:rRNA from 1 species